GGUAACAUCAUUUUACACGAAGCAAGAACGAAAGCGUAACUAAACCAUCUAUUAACUUACCCCAACCCAUAAUUAUUUUUCACAUGUUACCGUAUCACAUGUCGUUACCUAUGUAUAUUUUGUUCGUGGCAAGUUUGGAACAUCACAUGUGGAGGACCUGCAACUACACAGUACAUGAGUGUGAUAUUGAUUACCACCAACUAUGAUCUCU
rnacentral:lncRNA from 1 species